AAUCCGCCCAAGGAGGGGCUCGCGUCUGAUUAGUUAGUUGGUGAGGCAAUGGCUUACCAAGGCGACGAUCAGUAGCUGGUCCGAGAGGAUGAUCAGCCACACUGGGACUGAGACACGGCCCAGACUCCUACGGGAGGCAGCAGUGGGGAAUUUUCCGCAAUGGGCGAAAGCCUGACGGAGCAAUGCCGCGUGAAGGCUGUAAGGCCCACGGGUCAUGAACUUCUUUUCUCGGAGAAGAAACAAUGACGGUAUCUGAGGAAUAAGCAUCGGCUAACUCUGUGCCAGCAGCCGCGGUAAG
rnacentral:rRNA from 1 species